rnacentral:rRNA from 1 species
CCUACGGGCGGCAGCAGUGGGGAAUAUUGCACAAUGGGGGAAACCCUGAUGCAGCGACGCCGCGUGAGUGAAGAAGUAUCUCGGUACGUAAAGCUCUAUCAGCAGGGAAGUAAAUGACGGUACCUGACUAUGAAGCCCCGGCGAACUACGUGACCGCAGCCGCGGUAAUACGUAGGGGGCAAGCGUUAUCCGGAUUUACUGGGUGUAAAGGGAGCGUAGAGGGCAGGACAAGUCUGGAGUGAAAUCCUGGGGCUUAACCCCGGAAUUGCGUUGGAAACUGUGCGGCUGGAGUACAGGUGGGGUAAGCGGAAUUCGUAGUGUAGCGGUGAAAUGCGUAGAUAUUAGGAGGAACACCGAUGGCGAAGGCGGCUUACUGGACUGUAACUGACGUUGAGGCUCGAAAGUGUGGGGAGCAAACAGGAUUAGAUACCCGAGUAGUC